UAAAAGCAAGAGACUGUUCCCGUC
rnacentral:piRNA from 1 species